GACGAACGCUGGCGGCGUGCUUAACACAUGCAAGUCGAGCGGUAAGGCCCUUUCGGGGGUACGACGAGCGGCGAACGGGUGAGUAACACGUGGGUGACCUGCCCUCAGCUCUGGGAUAAGCCUGGGAAACCGGGUCUAAUACCGGAUAUGACUCCAUGACGCAUGUUGGUGGGGUGGAAAGCCUUGUGCGGCUGAGGAUGGG
rnacentral:rRNA from 1 species